GUCUACAAAUACAUACUAUAGUUUUAGACAUGUUUCAAAAAAUACUAGGYAAUAAAGCGAGGCAAUCCAAUGAGAAUGCAAAGAUUGAUAAAUCACUGAGGAGAAAACCAAAAGCGAAAUCAUGCAAAUGUGUCCCGCAAAGCUGCAAAUGUAGGAUACGAAAUGCAUUCAAGCUGUUGGCUAAACAACGUUAUCAUUUUAGAUCGAACGAAAUUCUUGUUUGAGUGUUGCAUUUUAAAUUAAAAAUAUCGAACCUAACUUUAAUUUUGAUUGUUGAUGCUAUCGUGGCUUUUAGAGGACAAAAAUGUGAAUGUUUGACCAAACUAGUUAUUUGACUUUAACCGGGAAAUACGAUGAAAUAAAGUGGAAUAGUUUUGUAUAUCAUAACACGUGGUGUAACAAAAAAAAAAAAUACAGCUUUAACAAAUGUUAAAAAUUAUUAAUGUGCUUUAUACAAGAUGCUUCUCAUAAGAAAAAUUAAAAUCUAAUUACCAGAAA